CCGGAUUGGAGUCUGCAACUCGACUCCAUGAAGUCGGAAUCGCUAGUAAUCGUAGAUCAGAAUGCUACGGUGAAUACGUUCCCGGGCCUUGUACACACCGCCCGUCACACCAUGGGAGUGGGUUGCAAAAGAAGUAGGUAGCUUAACCUUCGGGAGGGCGCUUACCACUUUGUGAUUCAUGACUGGGGUGAAGUCGUAACAAGGUAACCGUAGGGGAACCUGCGGUUGGAUC
rnacentral:rRNA from 1 species